AAAGUUUGACAGACAAUCGCUGGCGGCACUUGUGCCGCGAGAGGAAAGUCCGGGCUCCAUAGGGCAGGAUGCUGGAUAACGUCCAGUCGGCGCGAGCCGAAGGAUAGUGCCACAGAAAUGGACCGCCGAUGACAAUCCCCGCAAAGUGACGUUAAGCUGCGAAGCUUAAUCCGAUUACUUUGCGGGGGCCCCGAUAAACUUUAUUGGGGUUUGUACAGGCAAGGGUGGAACCGUGGUGUAAGAGACCACGAGGGGCAUGGGUGACUAUGCCCCUGGUAAACCCCAUCUGGAGCAAGACCUAAUGGAACGCAGCGGCUCUCGAAGCCGCAGCCCUUGCCCGGGGCGCGUUCGGGUUGGUCGCUGGAGCGUGCCGGCAACGGCAAGCCUAGAUAGAUGAUUGUCGCUUCCAUCCGUGGGAGGGCCGCCAGGUCCGCGGUACCACCGGAAGUACAGAACCCGGCUUACGGCAAACUUUCCGG
rnacentral:RNase_P_RNA from 1 species